AUUCCAGCUCCAAUAGCGUAUAUUAAAGUUGUUGCAGUUAAAAAGCUGGUAGUUGGAUUUGUGGCAGUGCUCGACUGCCUUUUUUGGACGCUCUGAGCACAGCCAUCCUUGGGAGGAAUUCGUGUGGCAUUAGGUUGUUGCAUGGGGGAUACUCAACUUUUACUGUGAAAAAAUCAGCGCGUUCAAAGCAAGCUUAUGCUCUUGAAUGUAUUAGCAUGGAAUAAUAAGAUAGGACUUUAGUACUAUUUUGUUGGUUUGCGUAUUAAGGUAAUGAUUAAUAGGGAUAGUUGGGGGUAUUCGUAUUCCAUUGUCAGAGGUGAAAUUCUUGGAUUUUUGGAAGACGAACUACUGCGAAAGCAUUUACCAAGGAUGUUUUC
rnacentral:rRNA from 1 species